AGGGUGUAAACGCUGCAGACUUGGUGUUGGAAGCCCUUUGGGGGCAUUCAGUGCCGGAGAGAAGUUGUUAAGUCUGCUACUUGGGGAGUACGUCCGCAAGGAUGAAACUUAAAGGAAUUGGCGGGGGGAGCACCGCAACGGGAGGAGCGUGCGGUUUAAUUGGAUUCAACACCGUAAAACUCACCAGGGAAGACUGUUACAUGAAGGCCGAGAUGAAGACUCUGCCAGAUUUUCAGAGAGGAGGUGCAUGGCGUCAGUGACU
rnacentral:rRNA from 1 species